GGAACUUGUAAAGCCAUGCGGUAAUGAUGAAAAGGCUGGGGAGUAAGGCAUUACUGUAGAGGGAGAGGCAGACGCAUAGGACAUUCCCUAACGAGGAGAGUUAUGUUACGAAUGAUGGGUUAUGUUAUGUAUAGAUAUUUUAUUUUGGAUGGACUCUGAGAGUCUUUUAUGGAUGAAUGUUUGAAUAGAAUGUCCAUCAGGUGUUCCCUUUUUUUAAAUGAAAAAUUUAGAGUGCACGUGUGUCAUGUCCAU